rnacentral:tRNA from 2 species
GGGGGUGUAGCUUAGCUGGUCAAAAGCGAUCGCCUGUCGAGCGAAAGAUCGUGGGUUCAAAUCCCAUCAUCCCCG